UGAGAGGGAUGUUUCAGCCACACUGGGGANUGAGACACGGCCCAGANUCCUACGGGAGGCAGCAGUGGGGAAUUUUCCCGCAAUGGGCGGAAAGCCUGACGGAGCAACGCCGCGUGAGGGAGGAAUNCCUGUGGGUUGUAAACCUCUUUUCUCAGGGAAGAAGAUCUGACGGUACCUGAGGAAUCAGCAUCGGCUAACUCCGUGCCAGCAGCCGCGGUAAUACGGAGGAUGCAAGCGUUAUCCGGAUUUAUUGGGCGUAAAGCGUCCGUAGGUGGCUAUAUAAGUCCGCUGUCAAAGCCCACAGCUUAACUGUGGAUCGGCAGUGGAAACUAUAUAGCUUGAGUGCGGUAGGGGCAGAGGGAAUUCCCAGUGUANCGGUGAAAUGCGUAGAUAUUGGGAAGAACACCGGUGGCGAAAGCGCUCUNNUAGGCCGCAACUGACACUGAGGGACGAAAGCUAGGGGAGCGAAAGGGAUUAGAUACCCCUGUAGUCCUACCCCUG
rnacentral:rRNA from 1 species